rnacentral:tRNA from 1 species
GCGAACGUAGUCUAGCCUGGUAGGACUCUGGCCUUCCAAGCCAAAAACCCGGGUUCAAAUCCCGGCGUUCGCA